rnacentral:rRNA from 1 species
GACGAACGCUGGCGGCGUGCUUAACACAUGCAAGUCGAACGGAAAGGCCCUGCUUUUGUGGGGUGCUCGAGUGGCGAACGGGUGAGUAACACGUGAGUAACCUGCCCUUGACUUUGGGAUAACUUCAGGAAACUGGGGAUAAUACCGGAUAGGAGCUCCUGCAGCACGGGGGGGGUUGGAAAGUUUCGGCGGUUGGGGAUGGACUCGCGGCUUAUGCGCUUGUUGGUGGGGUAGUGGCUUACAAAGGCUUUGACGGGUAGCCGGCCUGAGCGGGUGACCGGCCACAUGGGGACUGCGGUACGGCCCAGACUCCUACGUUAGGCAGCAGUGGGGAAUAUUGCACAAUAGGCGGAAGCCUGAUACAGCAACGCCGCGUGCGGGAUGACGGCCUUCGGGUGGUGAACCGCUUUCGCCUGUGACGAAGCGGGAGUGACGGUAAUGGGUAAAGAAGCACCGGCUAACUACGUG